UGAAUAGCAAGUACUAAAUGAGGCUGGCAACCAUAAGGGCAGAACAAACAGGCCAUUCAUAGACAAGAACCUGGAAGGAGGCAGGGCUGGUGGCUGGGACCUAGCAAAGGAGAUGUUUCUCCUGCCUUUAUUAAGGAAUAACCUAUCACCUCAUUUGGUUCCUCCUAUCAUCUUGUGAUUGUGAAAAUAAUCUUGCUUUGUGCUUUUCUUCUCUGGAAAAGAAGAGGGAGUCUAGGAUCAAUGGUGGUGUUUCUGGACUGUGAGCGAAUGAGCACAUGAAAAUAUGGAAUCUUAUAAGGUUGGAUGAAACUGCCAAGACAGAAGACAUUGAAGAGCAUUCUGGCUACAGAGACAGGAUAUCUUGUGUGAUAAAAGAAGACACUGCAAGAAGAAAGUAACUGAAUGAGGUGUCAAAUAAUUGAAAUGCUUCAAGCCUGUCAACUGCUUUUCCUUGGGACAGCAGAUGAGGGUGGUGAAGUUACUGGAAUAAGGAAAAGACUGUGAGAAACAAGGUGAAGAAGUAAGAAAGGCAGUAGUGGAAGAUUUCUGUAGACUAAGAAGAACUGAAUUAUUCCCCCUUUACAAAUACUUUAUUGACCAAUCAUUAUGCAUAUCUGUAGAGAAAGAACUGAAUUUUAUCUUUCAUUAAAGAAACAGGGAUGUUUAGAAAUAUAAACUUUUGAUCUCAACCAACUGGAAGAGACUUUGGCCAUUUCUAUGAACACUAAAGAUACUCUGAUUAUGGGCUUGGGGAGUUAGCUCAGUGGUUGAGCGGUUGCCUAG